UACGGAGGGUGCAAGCGUUAUCCGGAUUCACUGGGUUUAAAGGGUGCGUAGGAGGGCAGGUAAGUCAGUGGUGAAAUCUCCGGGCUUAACCCGGAAACUGCCGUUGAUACUACCGGUCUUGAAUAUCGUGGAGGUGAGCGGAAUAUGUCAUGUAGCGGUGAAAUGCUUAGAUAUGACAUAGAACACCCAUUGCGAAGGCAGCUCACUACCCGAAUAUUGACACUGAGGCACGAAAGCGUGGGGAGCGAACAGG
rnacentral:rRNA from 1 species